AAAAAAAAAAAAAAGGCUUUCAUUCAGAAGCAAAAUUAAUAUUACUAUUUGGGAAUGAUAAUUGUCCAGGGUGGGAUUCUUAUCAACAUAGGAGACAGUGAUAGGAAAAGAGAAUCAUGACCUUUGCCAGAAAACAAAACAAAAACAUAUUCUGAUCCCACUCACACCCACCCAUACACUCACCCUUUUUUUUUAACUCUUUUACUAAAGGAGCAGAUGUGACAACACAUUUGCAAAAGAAAAUAUGUUGUGGCACUGUAAAACA
rnacentral:misc_RNA from 1 species